GUGCAGGACCAUGUGAGCGGUGUCGUGAAGCAAUUCGUUACGUUGCGAGACCUGAUAUCAUGCGAUACUUCCUGACUCUGAGUCUGGCAACUCGCUGGACCAAAGUUGCGAGGGGGGGUUUCCGUUAACAGGCGCUAGGGGGGAGCGAGACGACCACCAUUCAACUCCA